rnacentral:misc_RNA from 1 species
UAAAAGUCGUAACAAGGUUUCCGUAGGUGAACCUGCGGAAGGAUCAUUAAAAAAUUGGACUCCAUUGGUGAGUUCAUUAAUAAUCCCUACCCUUUGUGAAUUUGUUUGUUUGAAUAAUUUUUUUUCCAAAAAAAAUUAUUGAAUGUCUUUCCCUGUUUUGGUGGAGCUUGUAAAGUGAAACCAGGCAGGGGAAUGGCAAACAAUAAUUAUUUUUGAAAAAAGACCUUUUUUUAAAAUUAAACUUUUUGUAUUCAUUUGUCUAAAAUUAUUUUUAUAAUAUAAAAACAACUUUUGACAAUGGAUCUCUUGGUUCUCGCAACGAUGAAGAACGCAGCAAAAUGCGAUAAGUAGUGUGAAUUGCAGAAUACGUGAAUCUUCGAAUCUUCGAACGCAUAUUGCACUUUUUUAGUUUACUAAAAAAGUAUGUCUGUUUGAGUAUCAGUAAAAUAUUCUCAUAAAAAACAUUGUUUUUUUAUGGUUAUGAGUGUUUUACAACGAUAACAAGUUGUUUCACUUUAAAUUCUUUGUUAUCAAAAAAAUCAUUAAAAGCUAAUUUUAAAGAUUUUUUAAAAUUGGAUAAAAUUUUCCCGUAAAAAGGAAUAACCUAAACAAUUUUAAAAAAUUAAAAUUGGUUUGAUUUUUUUUGAAACCCAAAGGAAAAAAAAACGAAAUUAACUUUAUCUCAAAUCAGAUAAGAGUACCCGCUGAACUUAAGCAUAUCAAUAAGCGGAGGAAAAGAAACUGACUAGGAUUCCCUCAGUAACGGCGAGUGAAGCGGGAAGAGCUCAAUUUGAAAUCUUCAAGGUUUUACCUUGACGAAUUGUAGUUUAAAGAAGUGUUUUCUGUUGGAGUUUUGGUAAAAGUUCUUUGGAAAAGGACAUCAUAGAGGGUGAGAAUCCCGUAUUUGACCAUUAUCUCCAGCUUUGUGAUACACUUUCAAAGAGUCGGAUUGUUUGGGAAUGCAGUCCAAAAUGGGUGGUAAAUUUCACCUAAAGCUAAAUACUGGCGAGAGACCGAUAGCGAACAAGUACCGUGAGGGAAAGAUGAAAAGAACUUUGAAAAGAGAGUUAAACAGUACGUGAAAUUGUCAAAAGGGAAGCGUUUGACACCAGUGUUGUUUUCUCGAAAAUCAAUUAAAAAAGGCCGGAUUUUGUGUUGUAUUGACUUUAUCAGCUUUCUGCACUUUUUUCUUGUCUUUUUUAGUGCACUUUUCGUUUAACAAGUCAACAUCAAUUUCUUUCGUUGUAAAAGGGUCAUUGGAAGGUGGCUUUCUUUUCGGAGAAAGUGUUUAUAGCCUUUGGCCUCUGCAAUCGGAGAGAUUGAGGUCUGCAGCGUAGAUCCUUCGGGGUUAGAUACAUUUGUGCUAAGUUAUAGCCUUUCAUAGACAACUUGUUGACUAUGAUCAGUCAUGUAGCUUACUCGCUGAUGCUAUUUUACCUACGCUUAGGAUGUUGA